AAAAAUUGAUGAAAGGAUUGGAGAGGCUUAAGAUGAGUUACUACUCAUCGUAAAGCUAUUUUAAAGUUGAUCAUCAAUGGAGACCCAAUCUAUUUCCAGAGAAGUCUUCUUCAGUGAAUCCCAAAUCCAGUCUGUACUUGUAUUUCUCUCUUUCUCUCCACUCACACACACCGCUUGACGAAGAUGUCAAGAAGAAGAGUUUCUGUUUCUUCCAUUGUUGGACGAAGAAGAAGAAGAAUUGCUGAUCAUAAUUGUCAAAAAGGUACAAUAUUUCCCUCUCUAAUUAAUCAUCCCUCUUCAUUCCUAUUUGUUCUGUUUCGUUCUCUCUCUACUACCCAAAGCCCUAGUUCUCCUCCUGCUGCUGCUUUAAUAACGAAUCAACCUAAAACUUUACCCACACUGCGAUGCAAUGAUGUCCAAGACGUUGUAAAUUCGUUCAAUCGCAUGAUCCAAAUGCGACCUUUGCCCCCCAUUUCUCAUUUCAACAAAGCUUUAGGUCCUCUUUUGAAAUUGGGUCAUUACGACAUCGCUCUUCCUCUUAUUGGGAAAUUGCAUUUUCGAGGGAUUCAGGUCGAUAUCUUCACCUUCAACAUUGCUAUUAACUGUUGCUGCCGCCUUAAUCAAGUCAAUUUUGGGUUCUCUCUUUUGUGUACCCUUUUCAAACGCGGUUGUACAGCUGAUGUAACUACCUUCAACACUUUGUUAAAUGGACUUAUUUUGGACGAUAAAACCCCUGAAGCUGUAGAGUUAUUUAAGAAAUUAAUGAGAAUGAGAGAAAUUGAACCCAACGUGGUUAUGUAUGGAACCAUUGUUAAUGGGCUCUGCAGAACGGGGAACACUGUCAGGGCUGUUAGUUUGCUUAGGAUAAUGGAAGAGGGAAGUUGUAAACCUAACACGGUAGUGUAUAACACGGUCAUUGACAGUCUUUGCAAGGAUAGAAUGGUGGAUGAUGCUAUGAAACUCUUUUCUAAGAUGAAUGAACAUGGCAUUUGUCAAGAUGUUGUCACUUAUACCUCUUUGAUUCAUGGCCUAUGUAAUUUUGGCCGGUGGAAGGAGGCUACCGGAAUGUUUAUAGAAAUGUUGGAUAGUGGUAUUGCUCCGGAUGUUCAUACGUAUAGCGUGUUGCUAGAUGCAUGUACCAAGGAAGGGAAGAUGAAAGAGGCCGAGGGGGUACUUGAAGUCAUGAUACAAAGAGGUGUGGAUCCUAAUGUAGUCACAUACAAUACUCUAAUGGAUGGAUAUUGUUUGCAAGGCCACAUGGAUGAAGCAAUUAGAGUGUUGAAUACCAUGGUGGAGAGGGGCCUUCACCCUGAUGUUUUUAGCUAUACCAUUCUAAUCAAUGGAUAUUGCAAGAAAAUGAAAAUAGAUGAGGCCAUGCUUCUCUUUCAAGCAUUGCCUCGAAGGGGGUUGAAACCCAACAAUGGAACUUUCAAUGCUAUGCUAUGGGGUUUGUUUCAAACAGGUAGAUGUGGAGCUGCUCAUAAACUUUUCGAUGAUAUGCAAGCUGCAGGCUUAAAUCCAGAUUCUCAAACUUAUGGUAUCUUAUUGGAUGGGUUGUGCAAAAAUGGGCAUAUUUCUGAAGCAUUGUCAUUAUUCCACAUGAUGGAAAGCAACGGUUUACAUCUUGAUAUUGUUAAGUAUAAUAUCCUCAUUGAUGCAUUCUGCAAGGUUAAAAAACUUGACACUGCAAGGGCCAUUUUCAGUAACCUUUCUUCCAAGAGAUUGCAACCAAAUGUUAAGACAUACACUAUGAUGAUCCGAGGUCUUUGUGAAGAAGGCCUACUGCAUGAAGCUAAAGAGUUGUUUGUUAAAAUGGAACAGAGUGGUUGUUUGCCAAAUGGUGUCACUUACAACACUAUUAUCCGAGGAUUUAUUGGACAACACAAGUGCUAUGAGGCAUUAAUACUCGUUGAGGAAAUGGCUCAAAGGGGUUUUUCGGCAGAUGCAUUCAAUUUUCCCUUGAUCGUAGAUAUACUUUCAACUAAAGGACAAGAUCCUGCUCUCCGAGAAGUGAUAAAGAAGUUCAUGCCAAAAGAUAGUAAUGGAAUGCAUGAUAUUGAGUAAAUUUCUUAAGCUAUGAAGGUAUAAAAACCCAUCAUUGUUUGAUUCUUUUAGCUUAGGUCAUAGAGGAGCAACAUCCAUAGAGUAAGCACACCUAUUUUUCGUGCUAUUUUAUUGAUUCUUUUGCUCAUUCUCUCCUGUUUUUGCUUCCAUUCACCUAGCUAUGUUUAUUGGGUCCAUGAGAAUAUCUCUGGUAGAUUUUUGUUAGAUAGUGGAUAAUGACAUAUGUAGGGUUAUUAUUUUGGUUACUAAUCCUUUGUUAUUUGGUUAUUGUUCAGUUAAGGGAUUUUAUCCUUUCCUCUCUCUCUCUCUUCCGUCUUUUUUUCAAGGUUAUUGUUCAUGGUACUUGAGGUCUACAACUAGAUGGUGUUGAUGGUACUUGAAGUUUUUUCUGGAGCUAUUGUGUCCAUUGAUGACAUUGAUUGCUUUUUAGGGAUUUUGUUUGAAGGAGCUGGGUGCUAAUUUAGGAGAUUAGUCAGAUUCUUGAUGGAGUUUUAAAGGAUGUAUAAUCAUCUUGGACCAGGAAGAAUUUCUUGUUGAAUCCAGAAAUUUGUGAAGUAUUUGCAGUUGCAGGAGCUUGGUCUUUGUUGUUUGUUUUUCAUACAAGGCAAGAGCCAAAGUUUAAUUCAUCGUCAUUACAAUUUACAUCCCAAAAGGUUAAGAAGAGAGAGAAUAAAUUUUAAGAAAAGCAAAGGUUGCUGUCCUGAUACAUGGUGAAAAGAAGCUAAUUUCCCAGACAUAUCUACAAGAAAGCUUAGAAGCAUUUUCGAGAACAAAGCUGUACAAGCAACUAAAGUCCAAUCCUAACGAAGCUCAGAUCAAUUUUACUUCCAGCAGCUGAGAAACAACAUUUAACAACAGAAUUCCGUAACUUGGAAGCUUUACUUGUCUUGCUGUGGAUUACCAUAAAGUUGCACACAAAUUUUCGUGGAAAUCUGAAUUCCGAGUUGGCUCAUUUACAUGGCUGUUUAGGUUUCCAGAGCUUGUAAAUACAAUGGCUGUUUGAUGUCUACACUGUAAUGUGGUGGUUGAGUGGACCUAUAUUUGAAACCGUCUUUUGAGCCAGUUUUUAUUAAUUUCAAGAGCACGAUAUAUUGUUCAUCUUGUUCUUCAUUGCUCUUAAACGAGGUGUGCCAUAUGUAACUCAUUGACUGUGAUCAAUAAUUCGUUUCUUUUAUUUAUUCAAAUUCAAUGGCUAGAAGUACAGGGA